GUGUUCGCUUCAGCAGCACAUAUACUACAACUGGAAUGAUACAGAGAAAAUUAGCAUGGCCCUGCACAAGGAUAACACACAAAUUCAUGAAGCGUUCCAUAUUAAA